rnacentral:lncRNA from 1 species
GUGACUGGAGAGAGAGUGGUAUGACUACAGGGACUGGAGAGAGAGUGGUAUGACCAUGGGGACUGGAGAGAGAGUUGUAUGACUACGGGGAGAGAGAGUGGUAUGGCUACAGUGACUGGAGAGAGAGUGGUAUGACUACAGUGACUGGAGAGAGAUUGGUAUGACUACAGGGACUGGAGAGAGUGGUAUGACUACAGGGACUGGAGAGAGAGUGGUUUGACUACAGGGAGAGAGAGUGUUAUGACUACAGGGAGAGAGAGUGGUAUGACUACGGGGACUGGAGAGAGAGUGGUAUGACUACAGGGACUGGAGAGAGAGUUGUAUGACUACAGGGAGAGAGAUAGUGGUGUGACUACACGGACUGGAGAGAGAGUGUUGUAUGACUACAGGGAGAGAGAUAGUGGUGUGACUACACGGACUGGAGAGAGAGUGGUAUGACUACAGGGACUGGAGAGAGUCAUAUGACUACGGGGAGAGAGAGUGUUAUGACUACGGGGACUGGAGAGAGAGUGGUAUGACUACAGGGACUGGAGAGAGAGUGGUAUGACUACAGGGACUGGAGAGAGAGUGGUAUGACUACAGGGACUGGAGAGAGAUUGGUAUGACUACAGGGACUGGAGAGAGUGGUAUGACUACAGGGACUGGAGAGAGAGUGGUAUGACUACAGGGAGAGAGAGUGUUAUGACUACAGGGAGAGAGAGUGGUAUGACUACGGGGACUGGAGAGAGAGUGGUAUGACUACAGGGACUGGAGAGAGAGUGGUAUGACUACAGGGACUGUAGAGAGAGUGGUAUGACUACAGGGAGAGAGAGUGGUAUGAGUAAGGGGACUGGAGAGAGAGUGAUAUGACUACAGGGACUGGAUAGAGAGUGGUAUGACUACAGGGACUGGAUAGGGAGUGGUAUGAGUAAAGGGACUGGAGAGAGAGUGAUAUGACUACAGGGACUGGAUAGAGAGUGGUAUGAGUAAGGGGACUGGAGAGAGUGAUAUUACCAAGGGGACUGGAAAGAGUGAAAUGCACAACAAAGGAAAAGGUGUGAAAAGUAGAAACUCAGAGUAAUUGUUUUUGAAAAAAUAUAAGGGCAGUUAUAGUAUUAUGUGCUCGGCAAAAUUUGAAGGUUCAUAAUACUGCUCAUGACCUAACAGUGGCAAAAUCUUGGCCUCUGUGUCCUUUGUCUCUUGCUGCCGAGGUUCAGCCUACUUUGCAUGCUGACAGUAAGCCUCGCCUACAACUUUAUAACAAACACAGUAGGUCAUAAACAAAGAACUCAUGCCACUUCCUAGGAGCAAUAUGAUAGUACUGUCAGUAGUAUGACUCAUCUCUGUGUUGAUUUUGAGGGUUGUAUUCUGUGUAUUACUCAGGCAUCCUGUGAUGAUUUGUUUCUGUUCAUGGACAAUGCUGUAACCAUAGAUCUCUCUGUCUGUAUCUCUCUGUCUCUCUGUCUGUCUCUCUGUCGCUGUCUCUCUGUCGCUGUCUCUCUGUCGCUGUCUCUCUGUCGCUGUCUCUCUGUCUGUCUCUCUGUCUGUCUCUGUCUCUCUGUCGCUGUCUCUGUCUGUCUCUCUGUCGCUGUCUCUCUGUCUGUCUCUCUCUCUCUCUGUCUGUCUCUCUCUCUGUCUCUCUGUUUCUCUGUCUGUCUCUCUCUGUCUUUCUGUCUGUCUCUCUGUCUCUCUCUCUCUGUCUCUCUGUCUGUGUGUGUGUGACAUAGAAAUAAUAUCGGAUAUAGCGGAUAUCAUAAGGUGAAUGCACCAAUUUGUAAGUCGCUCUGGAUAAGAGCGUCUGCUAAAUGACGUAAAUGUACAUGUAAAUAAUGUACUCCCUCUUCAUUGAAUAUUGUUACAAUGAUUCCUCUUUAGUGGGAUACUGCUAUGAGGUGAGUGAUGGCUGCUGAUCUAAGCUAUGCUUGACUUUGAGGCAUUUUAAUGGCUUCUAUCUUCUAAAGCCAUUCAAGGGGGUGUUGGUCACAUAUAUGUAUAAUGUGUGUGUGUAAUUUAUUUGAG